UACGUAGGUGACCAGCGUUGUCCGGAUUUACUGGGCGUAAAGAGUGCGCAGGCGGUCGUUCAAGUCGAGUGUGAAAGCCCCCGGCUCAACUGGGGAGGGUCACUCGAUACUGAUCGACUUGAAGGCAGGAGAGGGAAGCGGAAUUCCCGGUGUAGUGGUGAAAUGCGUAGAGAUCCGGAAGAACACCGACGGCGAAGGCAGCGUCCUGGCCGAGUACUGACACUGAGGCACGAAAGCUGGGGGAGCAAACAGG
rnacentral:rRNA from 1 species